CAAUAGCGUAUAUUAAAGUUGUUGCGGUAAAAAAGCUCGUAGUUGAAUUUCUGUUGAGAGCGACCGGUCCAUACCAUGUAUGCGUAUCUGGCUUGCUCUCGGCAUCUUCUCGAUAGACGUUACUGCGCUUGAUUGCGUGGUGCGGAUCUCGGGACUUUUACUUUGAGGAAAUUAGAGUGUUCACGGCAGGCUUUCGCCAGAAUACAUUAGCAUGGAAUAAUACUAUAGGAUCUUGGUUCUAUUUUGUUGGUUUCUAGAAUUGAGAUAAUGAUUAAUAGGGACAAUUGGGGGCAUUCGUAUCAACACGUCAGAGGUGGAAUUCUUGGAUUGUGUUGCGACGAACUACUGCGAAAGCAUUUGCCAAGGAUGUUUUCAUUGA
rnacentral:rRNA from 1 species